rnacentral:rRNA from 1 species
GAAUGCUGACAUAAGUAACGAUAAAGCGGGUGAAAAGCCCGCUCGCCGGAAGACCAAGGGUUCCUGUCCAACGUUAAUCGGGGCAGGGUGAGUCGACCCCUAAGGCGAGGCCGAAAGGCGUAGUCGAUGGGAAACGGGUUAAUAUUCCCGUACUUGGUGUUACUGCGAAGGGGGGACGGAGAAGGCUAUGUUGGCCGGGCGACGGUUGUCCCGGUUUAAGCGUGUAGGUGUGUGUUCCAGGUAAAUCCGGUUCACUUUAACACUGAGGCGUGAUGACGAGGCACUACGGUGCUGAAGCAACAAAUGCCCUGCUUCCAGGAAAAGCCUCUAAGCAUCAGGUAACAUCAAAUCGUACCCCAAACCGACACAGGUGGUCAGGUAGAGAAUACCAAGGCGCUUGAGAGAACUCGGGUGAAGGAACUAGGCAAAAUGGUGCCGUAACUUCGGGAGAAGGCACGCUGACACGUAGGUGAAGUGAUUUACUCAUGGAGCUGAAGUCAGUCGAAGAUACCAGCUGGCUGCAACUGUUUAUUAAAAACACAGCACUGUGCAAACACGAAAGUGGACGUAUACGGUGUGACGCCUGCCCGGUGCCGGAAGGUUAAUUGAUGGGGUCAGCGCAAGCGAAGCUCCUGAUCGAAGCCCCGGUAAACGGCGGCCGUAACUAUAACGGUCCUAAGGUAGCGAAAUUCCUUGUCGGGUAAGUUCCGACCUGCACGAAUGGCGUAAUGAUGGCCAGGCUGUCUCCACCCGAGACUCAGUGAAAUUGAACUCGCUGUGAAGAUGCAGUGUACCCGCGGCAAGACGGAAAGACCCCGUGAACCUUUACUAUAGCUUGACACUGAACAUUGAGCCUUGAUGUGUAGGAUAGGUGGGAGGCUUUGAAGCGUGGACGCCAGUCUGCGUGGAGCCGACCUUGAAAUACCACCCUUUAAUGUUUGAUGUUCUAACGUGGACCCGUAAUCCGGGUUGCGGACAGUGUCUGGUGGGUAGUUUGACUGGGGCGGUCUCCUCCUAAAGAGUAACGGAGGAGCACGAAGGUUGGCUAAUCCUGGUCGGACAUCAGGAGGUUAGUGCAAUGGCAUAAGCCAGCUUGACUGCGAGCGUGACGGCGCGAGCAGGUGCGAAAGCAGGUCAUAGUGAUCCGGUGGUUCUGAAUGGAAGGGCCAUCGCUCAACGGAUAAAAGGUACUCCGGGGAUAACAGGCUGAUACCGCCCAAGAGUUCAUAUCGACGGCGGUGUUUGGCACCUCGAUGUCGGCUCAUCACAUCCUGGGGCUGAAGUAGGUCCCAAGGGUAUGGCUGUUCGCCAUUUAAAGUGGUACGCGAGCUGGGUUUAGAACGUCGUGAGACAGUUCGGUCCCUAUCUGCCGUGGGCGCUGGAGAACUGAGGGGGGCUGCUCCUAGUACGAGAGGACCGGAGUGGACGCAUCACUGGUGUUCGGGUUGUCAUGCCAAUGGCACUGCCCGGUAGCUAAAUGCGGAAGAGAUAAGUGCUGAAAGCAUCUAAGCACGAAACUUGCCCCGAGAUGAGUUCUCCCUGAGACUUAGAGUCUCCUGAAGGAACGUUGAAGACGACGACGUUGAUAGGCCGGGUGUGUAAGCGCAGCGAUGCGUUGAGCUAACCGGUACUAAUGAACCGUGAGGCUUAACCUUAC